rnacentral:rRNA from 1 species
GUAGGGUGCAAGCGUUAAUCGGAAUUACUGGGCGUAAAGCGUGCGCAGGCGGUUUUGUAAGACAGGCGUGAAAUCCCCGGGCUCAACCUGGGAAUUGCGCUUGUGACUGCAAAGCUGGAGUGCGGCAGAGGGGGAUGGAAUUCCGCGUGUAGCAGUGAAAUGCGUAGAUAUGCGGAGGAACACCGAUGGCGAAGGCAAUCCCCUGGGCCUGCACUGACGCUCAUGCACGAAAGCGUGGGGAGCAAAC